rnacentral:tRNA from 1 species
GGAGAGGUGUCCGAGUGGUUUAAGGAGCACGAUUGGAAAUCGUGUAAGUCAAAAAAACUUCUGGGGUUCGAAUCCCCAUCUCUCCACCA